CAGUCGCCACGGUAAUACGUAGGUGGCAAGCGUUGUCCGGAAUUAUUGGGCGUAAAGGGCUCGCGGGCGGUUUCUUAAGUCUGAUGUGAAAGCCCCCGGCUCAACCGGGGAGGGCCAUUGGAAACUGGGAAACUUGAGUGCAGAAGAGGAGAGUGGAAUUCCACGUGUAGCGGUGAAAUGCGUAGAGAUGUGGAGGAACACCAGUGGCGAAGGCGACUCUCUGGUCUGUAACUGACGCUGAGGAGCGAAAGCGUGGGGAGCGAACAGGAUUAGAUACCCCCGUAGUCCCUGUCUCUUAUAA
rnacentral:rRNA from 1 species